rnacentral:rRNA from 1 species
AUUGAACGCUGGCGGCAGGCCUAACACAUGCAAGUCGAGCGGAUGAAGGGUGCUUGCUCCUGGAUUCAGCGGCGGACGGGUGAGUAAUGCCUAGGAAUCUGCCUGGUAGUGGGGGAUAACGUCCGGAAACGGGCGCUAAUACCGCAUACGUCCUGAGGGAGCAAGUGGGGGAUCUUCGGACCUCACGCUAUCAGAUGAGUCUAGGUCGGAUUAGAUAGCUGGUGGGGUAAAGGCCUACUAAGGCGGCGAUCCGUAACUGGUCUGAGAGGAUGAUCAGUCACACUGGAAGUGAGACACGGUCCAGACUCCUACGAGAGGCAGCAGUGGGGAAUGUUAGGCAGUGGGGGAAAACCUGGUCCAGCCAUGCCGCGUGUGAGGAAAAAGUGUUCGGAUUGUAAAGCACUUUAAGUUGGGAGGAACGGCAGUAAGUUAAUACCUUGCUGUAUUGACGUUACCAGCAGAAUAAGCACCGGCUAACUACGUG